UACGUAGGGGCGAGCGUUGUCCGGAACUACUGGGCGUAAAGGGUGCGUAGGCGGCCCUUUAAGUCAGAUGUGAAAGCCCGCAGCUUAACUGCGGAAUUGCAUUUGAAACUGGAGGGCUUGAGUGUCGGAGAGGGUAGUGGAAUUCCCAGUGUAGCGGUGAAAUGCGUAGAUAUUGGGAGGAACACCAGUGGCGAAGGCGACUGCCUGGACGAUAACUGACGCUGAGGCACGAAAGCUAGGGGAGCAAACAGGAUUAGAUACCCUGGUAGUCCCU
rnacentral:rRNA from 1 species